GACCCAAGAUGGUGUAGUGGUUUGAGCAUCUGACUGUGACUCUGAAGAUCAGGAUUCAAUUCCCUGUUUGGCCA